CUAUUAGGUUGGUGCAAAAGUAAUUGCGGGUUUUGCCAUUAAAAGUCAUAGGGGAAAACUCAAUUACUUUUGCACUAAUUUAAUAC
ensembl:miRNA